GAGUUUGAUCAUGGCUCAGAAUGAACGCUGGCGGCGUGGAUUAGGCAUGCAAGUCGGACGGGCAUAGCAAUAUGUCAGUGGCGACCUGGUUAGUACAAGUUGGGUAACCUGCCGGAAAGUGGGGAACAACCUCUCGAAAGAGGGGCUAAUACCGCAUGUGGUCACGGGGUCUUAGGAACCUGUGACGAAAGCAGCGAUGCGCUUUCCGAUGGGCCCGACCACCAUUAGCUUGUUGGUAGGGUAAUGGCCUACCAAGGCGACGAUGGUUAGCUGGCCUGAGAGGGUGGUCAGCAACACGAGGACUGAGAUACGGCCUCGACUCCUACGGGGGGCAGCAGUCUAGAGGCUUCGGCAAUGGACGAAAGUCUGACCGAGCGACGCCGCGUGGAGGAUGAAGGUCUUCGGAUUGUAAACUCCUUUCGGCUGGAAGGAAAGGGUAGGUGGCGAACUUACCUGUGACCGACCGGCGGAAGAAGCCCCGGCUAACUUCGUGCCAGCAGCCGCGGUAAUACGAAGGGGGCAAGCGUUAUUCGGAUUUAUUGGGCGUAAAGGGCGUGUAGGUGGCUUGAAAAGUCUGGUGUGAAAACGCUACCGCUCAACGGAGCGAAUGCGCUGGAUACUUUCAAACUUGAGUUCGAGAGAGGCAGGCAGAAUACCUGGUGUAGCGGUGGAAUGCUUAGAGAUCAGGUAGAAUACCCGAGGCGAAGGCGGCCUGCUGGCUCGUAACUGACACUGAGGCGCGAAAGCGUGGGGAUCAAACGGGAUUAGAUACCCCGGUAGUCCACGCUGUAAACGGUGAAUACUAGGUGUAGGGGGUACCCAUUCCCUCUGUGCCGUCGUUAACACAGUAAGUAUUCCGCCUGGGAAGUACGGCCGCAAGGUUGAAACUCAAAGGAAUUGACGGGGGCCCGCACAAGCGGUGGAGCAUGUGGUUUAAUUCGACGCAACGCGAAGAACCUUACCUGGGCUCGAAAUGCAGCUUACAGAGGAUGAAAGUCCUUGCCCUUCGGGGGUGCUGCAUAGGUGCUGCAUGGCUGUCGUCAGCUCGUGUCGUGAGAUGUUGGGUUAAGUCCCGCAACGAGCGCAACCCCCGUCCUUAGUUGCCAGCACGUAAUGGUGGGGACUCUAGGGAGACUGCCCCGGAUAACGGGGAGGAAGGUGGGAUGACGUCAAGUCAUCAUGGCCCUUACGUCCAGGGCUACACACGUGCUACAAUGGCUGAGACAAUGCGCCGCCACUUGGCGACAAGGAGCGAAUCGCAUAAACUCGGUCCCAGUUCAGAUUGGAGGCUGCAACCCGCCUCCAUGAAGAUGGAAUCGCUAGUAAUCGCAGAUCAGCUACGCUGCGGUGAAUAUGUUCCCGGGCCUUGUACACACCGCCCGUCACGUCACGAAAGUUGGUUGUACCAGAAGUCGCUGUAGGAACCGCAAGGACCAAGGCGCCGAAGGUAUGACUAGUAAUUGGGACGAAGUCGUAACAAGGUA
rnacentral:rRNA from 1 species